rnacentral:rRNA from 1 species
CACUUACCUGGACGGGGUCAAUGAGAGAUCAAGAAGUCUCAUGGCCUAGAUCAGUGGCCUACAUUGCACCUUGUGGGCGCACUGGUUUACCAUCUCCCUUCGGGGAGAGUGGACGUCGUAAUUUGUGAUAGAGGGGGUACGCGUUCGCGCGGCCCCUACCAACACUCAAACAAAAAUAUUAUCUGUUGUGCAAGAUUUCAAGCACAAAAAUCUAACUAUUCAGUAUCAACAAAGAUGAUGCAAUACAUAAUUCAGUUCUCUAAAUAUUACCUCUGUCCCGAAAAGCCUACAUACUCCCUCCGUUCCGAAUUACUUGUCUUGGAUUUGUCUAGAUACGGAUGCAUCUAG